rnacentral:lncRNA from 1 species
AUGCCCGGCCUCGCUCCGCAGAUGCGGUUCGGAUCUGGUGUGGCUGUGGCGCAGGCCGGCGGCUGCAGCUCCGAUGGGACCCCUAACCUGGGAACCUCCAGAUGCCGCGGCUUCAGCCCUAAAAAGCAAAAAAAAAGAGAAAGAAACAGAAACGUCGCGGGCCCCCCCGUCGGCCGGGGCUCAGAGGCAGGAAGACUGCGCCACUGGAAAUUGGAGGCAAGGACAGCUCAGCUGGAUUCCGGCCUGCGGCUCUGCGGACGGACGGCAGGACGUGGGAGUUUAGCCGAGGAGCCCUCCAGCCAAAGGGCCGAAGCGCAGCCUGGCUGCUUCUCGCUGCUUCCAGUAAACGUCGCGCCGGGAGGGCGGGAGGGACGGGCGGAGGGAGCAGCUGAUGCGAGAAGGCCUCGGCCGGGCCGGCCCGCGGAGGGCCUGACCUCACGGGGCUCGCUGUCAGGGCCGCGUCGAGGGGAGCCGGCCGGCCUUCUGCCGACGGCUCCGCAAGACGGGCGAGUCAGGGGGGCCGCGCCCACGGGUGCCUUUGAGCCGCUGCAGCCCAGGCCGGGGACAGAGGAAGGGUCUCCUCAGAAGGGCCUGGAGGAGCGUCGGGUCUCAGGGGAGAUGCCCCGUGGGACCCCCACGGCUCUUGAGAGCUUUGUUCCAUCAGGAACCCUGGCGGCCUGCGCAGAGGGGAGGCGGCGAAGGCGGGUGGACUCGCGCCCUGUGGGCGGGGAAGCCAGGAUGCAGCGCCGCCCAGGGACUGGCUGCCUUUCUUCAAACGGAAGGGAUCCGACGGGGGGUGGGGGGGGUGCAUCCCGAGGACCGAGCCCGGGGCCCCAGGCGCCAGCCCGGCCGGGCCUCGUGGAGGCUGCCCUGCUGGGCCGUGACCUGGCCCGCCUCGUUCUGCCUCCUCCCCGGCCGGGUGGCAGCAUCUGUAACUGGCAGCCAGCGCCCGCUCUGCCGGGUUUGGAUGCAGGUAACUUCCGGUUGCAGCGGUCCAGGGCGGGAGGGCAGGCCUGUUGUGCUGUGGGAUGGAUCGAGUUCCAAGUCUCACUUUGA